UGUUGGGUGGCUCAGUGGUUAGAGCUAAGGUCUUGGGAGCGAAAAGUCCCGGGAUCGAAUCUCGUAAGAAACAA
rnacentral:tRNA from 1 species